CUCCAACCUAAGGAACAUGGCUGCUCAACACGUCUCCCCCUCAUGUUACCGGGAAGAGCCCCGGAGUUGUAGGACAAGGCUCCUGGAGAUAUUAAUUCAGAACUAGCGGUAUUACUGCAGCAUCCCCCCCUCUUUCCCGAUCGUCCGUUGCCUCUCACCGGGAGCACUGCGGCUGUAUCUUCCCCCACCGCCGUCUCAGACGACACCCGUGCGAUAGUGCUAUACUGCGCAUGUGUCCAGCUCUCCUGUUGUGGAUAGUGGACUUUCACCGCCGCAGGGCCUGCUGGGUACAAGCGGCACCAUUGGAUUACACCUUUAGCUUCUAAUUCUAUUACCGUUAUGGGGAAGUUGAUAUAAUCGCCUCAGUUCUGCUACAGCUUCCACACAGUGCAUGCUCCUGCUCCCUGAGGGCCUCUGUGAAUAACGGCAGCUCCAGAUGAAUACGAAGAGAAGGAUGGAGCAGGAGCAGCUUGUACUCUGAUCAACAGGAGUCCAGGGCUGAGCCCAGAUCUUUCUCAUUGGCUGAAGCUGUGCAUCAUUGGUAACACCAUUUUCAGUUAAAUCUGAGGAGAAACCUGGAUCUUUCUAUUUGUGGCUUUAAACACAGAAAACCCUACAGGGCUGGUGCAAGCAUCUCAACAUUUGUUACUGGAAUGUGGGGACACAUUGAAACAAUGCACAAAAAAAUUCAAACGCUGACUUAAAGCAAUAAUUGAGCAGAAAGGAAAUGUCACUGGUUUCAAUAAAUGUACAGGCAGAAAGGUUAGAAUGGGUUUGGGAAGGUUGAUGAUGUUAAAGUGCAAAAUAAAAAUCCACAGACCAUGAAUGAGAACUAAUCUCAUAAUCUCCUGUGGUACAUGUGCAGAGGGUUUCCUGAAUCAAAUUUAAAGAAUUAAUGUGAAGUAUUUUCCUCAUAUAAGACCAUAAGAAAAGUCAAUAAUAAAUAGGAACAUGAGAAGGCCAUUUGGCUCCUCAAGCCUGCCCCAACAUUCCUCAUAUUCACUGUCUGAGUUUUCCCUAUAACCCUUGAUUCCCCUACUGAUCAAGAAUCUAUCCAUCUGAGUGUUAAAUAUUUACAAGGCAUUUGCCUGCACAACUUUCUGUGACAAGGAGUUCCAAAGACUCUCAACCAUCUGAAAGAAGAAACUCCAUCUCAUUUCAGUCUUAAAUUGGCAGUCUUUAUUUCAUGAUUAUGCCCUCAGGUCUUGUACUCUCCCAUGAGGGGAAACAUCCUCUCAGCAUUCGCCCUGUCAAGCCCCUUAAGAAUCCUGUAUGUUUUAAUGAGAUCACCUCUCAUUCUUCUAAAUUCCAGCAAGUAGAGUCCCAACCUGUUUAGCUUUUGCUCACAAGACAAUCUUUCCAUACUCAGGAAUGAUCGCGGUGAACCUUCUCUGAACUACCUCCAUGAAAUGAUAUCUUUCCUUAAAUAAGGGGAUCAAAAUUGCCCACAGUACUCCAGAUAUGGUCUCACCAGUACCUUGUACAGCAGCAGUAAGAUGUCCGUACCAUUAUACUCCAACACCAUUGAAAUAAGGGCCAAUAUUCGAUUAGGUUUGCUGAUUACUUGCUGCACCCAUGCGCUAGCUUUGCAUUUUGUGUACAAGUAUCCACAAUUCCCUUUGUGUCACAGAUUUGGGCAGUUUUUCUCCAUCUAAAUGAUGCUCACUGGUCAAUUAUAUUCAAAAACUCAGUGAUCAAAACUUUGAUUUUAAGAUUUGUGUCAGGAGUCACAAAAGCAUUUAAUAAUUUACAAUUGAUAAUACUUUGUAGUACAGUUCAUUAAAUCUUUAAAUUGAUAGUAGGCUGCUCAAAGACACAAUGAAAUGAUUAAUUGUUGCAUUUAUUCCAAACUCAGGGUACAGUUAAUAAUGAGAAAGACAAUUAAAUCCUGGUAUCAGUGAAACUUGAAAAGACUUGUGGUGCAGUGUUUGUGGCCAGAAAAAAACACUUUCCCCUGAGAGGUGUCAUAACACGUUAAAACAGAUUCAUUAAAAUAACUACUCCUUUAAGGCAUCCUUAAAAACUAUCCACAAAACAGGCAAUUUGUGGAAACACACCGUAGGUCCAUUAAUAGCCCAUGUUCUCCCCAGUUUUAGCAUAGCAAUGAGAAUAUGUUUUGGGAUUUUGAAAGAGAAGAAAUCAUAGUUUCUGGUUUCUCUCUGGGGCACAGCACUUUCUUCAGAGAUUCUUUUAUGAGCCCCUCCCUGUGCCCAGACACAGUUCAUGUGAGAAAUGUUCAGUUCAAUUAAUCACGUGAUGUCCUGUGUAUUUUAUACUUGUCCUGUUUUCCUCUUAUCACAAGGCUGUUGCUGGUAUCGGUGUAUGAGCUUUCACAAACAGUUUCAUUUUAAAAAAUCUUACAGCUGCAGUAGACUUGAGAAAACCGGACAACAUAAGAACUUGCAGCAUGAGUAGACAGUUUGCUGCCUCAAGCCGGCUCCUCCAUUUAAUAUGAUUCUGGCUGAUCUCACCUUGGAUUCAACUCCACUUUCCUGCCUGCUCUCCAUAAUCUUUCAACCCAUUACUAAUUAAAAACCUGUCUAUCA